UAUGUUUUUCGAUUACAUUCC
rnacentral:piRNA from 1 species